CAAUAGCGUAUAUUUAAGUUGCUGCAGUUAAAAAGCUCGUAGUUGGAUUUCGGGUGGGAAUGGCCGGUCCGCCGUUUCGGUGUGCACUUGCUACGCCCACCUUGCUGCCGGGGACGUGCUCUUGAGUUCACGCUCGGGACACGGAGUCGGCGAGGUUACUUUGAGUAAAUUAGAGUGUUCAAAGCAGGCCUACGCUCUGAAUACAUUAGCAUGGAAUAACACGAUAGGACUCUGGCCUAUCUUGUUGGUCUGUAGGACCGGAGUAAUGAUUAAGAGGGACAGUCGGGGGCAUUCGUAUUUCAUUGUCAGAGGUGAAAUUCUUGGAUUUAUGAAAGACGAACUACUGCGAAAGCAUUUGCCAAGGAUGUUUUCAUUUA
rnacentral:rRNA from 1 species